UACGUAGGGUGCAAGCGUUAUUCGGAAUUACUGGGCGUAAAGCGUGCGCAGGCGGUUUUGUAAGUCUGUCGUGAAAUCCCCGGGCUCAACCUGGGAAUUGCGAUGGAAACUGGCGGGCUGGAGUGUGGCAGAGGGGGGUGGAAUUCCACGUGUAGCAGUGAAAUGCGUAGAGAUGCGGAGGAACACCGAUGGCGAAGGCAGCCCCCUGGGCUAGCACUGACGCUCAGGCACGAAAGCGUGGGGAGCAAACAGG
rnacentral:rRNA from 1 species